AUUACAUGAAGAUUUUCACCUUCCCCACAAAACUUUCCAGGUAAUCUUCCACACUUCUUCCAUUAUUUCCCAGAGAGACAUUGAUAUACUGGGCAAUUUUCAAGAUAGAGUUUGAAGAUGGUGAAGUUUCUAUUUGCCAGGUUCUCUGAAUAAUUGCAUGGAGCAGAUCCUCCCAAGUCCAUCCAGUCUUUACACAAGCAAAAAAUGAAUGAGUAUUGAAGUGACUGAGAUUUAGGGAGUUUAUCUGUUACUGUAGUUAGGAUUAUCCUUACACAUAUAUGAUAUAUGGUUGGGAUCUAACUAUUCUAUUUUGUCCAAAAUGAAUAAUGUUAUAAUGCUAUAUUUGAGUUAUUGGGUUAUCCUUAUUUGAAAUGUCACCAUAUAAUCAUGUAAAUGUUCCUGGAGACUCUUUUUGCUUAUCUCUUUAUCUGAUCCAGUAUUACAUUUUAAGCUAUUAUACCUUUAUAUUUUAUUCAGAUAACCAGUAGCUUGGUUUAUCCAUAAAUCUUUUCCCCCAAAUUUUCUUAGCUAUUCUUAUACCUUUUCUUUACAAAUAAUUUUUUUAAUCAAUUUGUGAAAUUUUAUUUUUUUAAUUAUGUUGGGUCAUUACUUUUGAUUACUUUUAAGAAUUAUUUGUAACCUGGGAAGUAUUUGUAUAUCAAACAUCUCUUUUUGUUAUUCUCUAAUUAGUUGCAUAAAAUCAUGGAUUUGCCUCUGUGAAUUGGGCCUAUACUAUAGAAUUGUAGAACAAAUUAUAUGUACAGGAACAUGUUCAGUAGCCUAAGUAUGAUAUCAUCCUGCAAAAAUUAAGUAGCCUUAAGCUGAAUACUGGAAUGUUGUUUGUACUUUGAACAUGUGUUUCUCUUCAAGGGAAAACUUGUUUUGAAAGAAAGUCAUUCUCCAUGUUGUUUUCAGGAUAAAAUUAAAAGGAUGUUUUUCAGUAAAGACAGCCAAAGCUUAGAGGGUCAAUAAAGGGAGGAGGGUAUUUGUGUUUAUUUUUCAACUGACCACAGUAUGAAUACUCAGUGCUUAGCUUUGCUCUCUCUAUCUGUACAGAAGUUCAUAGCCUUCACAUACACCAAUGAGCAAGCAAUUUAGCUCGUAUUCGAAAUAGAUGUGAAUUAGUUGAUCUCGUAGGCACCAGCUGUGAUAAAGGAGAGGUUGUUAGGCCCUGUCAAAUUUUUAAAGAUUUACAAGCACUAAAAUUGCACAAUUAAUAUACCUAAAGUGUCUGUUCUUGAGUGCUUGAAUUUAUAUUCUGCACUUUAAUACCUGCAAGCCUCCCUCCCUCAAUUUUUCAGAUCUCUGUUCAAAGGUCAUCUUGUUCGAGAGAACUUCUCUGACUUCACUUUGAAAGUAUCAACUAGUUAUUUCCUCCUCUUUGCUUUUUCUUCUAUGACAUUCAUCACCUAACAUAUAUAAGUUUAUAUAGUUUUCAGCUUCCCCCAUCUAGAAUAUAGACUUGUGGAUUAGCGACAAUUUUGAACAGUGGUUGAUACAUAGUAAGUGCUCAGUUAAAUAUUUGCUUUUCUAAAAUAUGUAUAAGUUUUUCAGUUUAUCAGUGACUCAUAUGGUUGAAAAGCUGUAGUCACCAGUUAGGAGGCUAUUAGAAUAAUCUAAAUGAGAGAUAGGGUGGCUUGGGCUUGAGUAGUAGCAGUGGAGAAUGAGAAUGGGAGAGAGAGUGAUGGAUAUUUGAUUAUAUAGAAAGGAAUGAAUCAAUCCCCUAAGGAAAGUGUAAUUGAAGUAAGAAACAGUAUGAUUACUGGGCAGCAUUUGGGGCCCAUUUGAACUUUACCAUCAUUGAUUUAAAGUGAAAGCAAUCAGUAUAGGCAUUUGUAUUUUUAUUUCUGUGAUAUGCUUUUUUUUUUAACCAUAUCUAUUUUGGCCUCUUGAUCUUUUUCGUUAUUGGUUUGUGGGAGCUCCUCAUAUGUUAAAGGAGUUAGCCCUUUGCCUACCAUGACUUGCAAAGAAUUUUCAUUUUGUCAUUUGUCUUUUAGCUUUAAUUUUUUUCAAACAGGAUAUUUUAUUUUAUUCAUGUUAUAAAUGUGAUCUGAUCUUUUACAUUCUAAUUGGCUGUUGGUGGUAUAUGUGAAGGUUAUGAACUCCUAUAUACUGAUAAUUUUCUCAGCCACCCUACAAAACUCUCACUAUUUUUAAUAGUUUCUCUGUUGUUCCUCUUGUAUUUUUCCAGGUUCAGAAUUAUAUCAUCUAAAGAUAUUAAUACUUUUACUUAUUCCUUUCUAAUUUUCAUAAUUCUUUAUCUUGCCUAAUUAGAAUUGCUGGUACCUCCAGUAAAACAUACAAUAAUAGCAAUGAUGUUAGACCACCUUGUUUAUUUCUGACUUUAAUGGGAAUAAUUCUAGUGUUUGCUUUUAGCAUGAAAUUCACUUUUAAAUUUAGAUUGAUAUGGUGUUAAGAUCUAUUCCUCUUACUGAAAUGUAUUUUUUUCAGUUCAAGAAUAGACAUUGAGCUUUAUCAGAUACCUUUUAAACAUUAAUGAAAAUGAAGAUAUGAUUUUUUGUUGUUCUUUAAACAUUUCUUGGAAUAACUCUGAAAGAACAUUUGUGCCUGGUGCAUUUUGACAACUCUAUUUUUUCUAUAUUAAGUUAUCUGUUUCUAUUUUAAUCUGAGCUCAAUUUAAAUUUUUCUUUAAAAGUAACCAUUUUUGUCCCUGUUUUAUAUGUUAUUUGCAGAACUAAACAAUGUAACCUCUUGAUUUUUUUAAAUUUUAGUUUUUAUUUUUUGAGGCAGGGUCUCACUGUGUCACCCAGGUGAGUGUUAUAACUCGAUCAUGGCUCACUGCAGCCUUGAGCUCCAGGGCUCAAGCGAUCCUCCUACCUCAGCCUCCUAAGUAGCUGUGACUACAAAUACAUGCCACCACACCUGGCUUUGUAGAGACAGCGUCUUGCUAUGUUGCCCAGGCUAGUCUUGAACUCCUGACCUCAACUGAUCCUCUUGCCUUGGCUUCCCAAAGUGCUGGAAUUACAGGCAUGAACCACCACACUUGGCACCUCUUGAUUUUUAAAAUAACUUCUGCUAGUUUUAACUAUUUUGCCCUUUUUCUUAUUUUGCAUGUUUGUGUUUUAUACUUCUUUUCUAGAUUAGUUAGUUAACAAUUUUCCUAAGGAAGGUAUGUAUUUUUUCUUUGUGUGCUCUUUUAGCCAUAUCCCAUAGGUUCCAAUGCAUUGUGAUUUUUAAGAUACUGUUUUUCUCUUUUCUACCUUUUCAAAAUUUCAUUUCAGCUGUUUUCUCAAUUUUCCUUCUCUGCUAUUUUAGAAUUUCUUUUGGUAUUAACAUUUAAAGUUAAAGGUAUGUAUUUUCUUAAAAUCUAAAUGAAUCUCACUCUGUAGGCCUACCAAAUAAUAUAUAGGCCUCAGAAGUCUUUCACCACCCUUAUCUUGCAUGCAUUUGUCUCAAAUAUUUUAAUUACUAGAUAUUAUUGCUUAAAACAGUCAAUGUUCAUGUAGACAUACCCACUUUUACCAGUUUCUGUGUUCAUCAAUUUUUCCUUGUCUCCAUCCUUCUUUCUAAUAUUACUUUUCUACUUUCUUAAGUACAUAUGUUUUCAACAUUAUAUAGUGAUAGUCUCAUUCUUAAAUAAUAGUCUAAUAGGGUAAUAAUACUUAUUUUCUUCCAUUACCAUGAAAAUAUCUUACUGUCUCACUGUUUUCUUUUUUUUUUCUUUUUCAAGAUGGAGUCUCCCUCUGUCGCCCAAGCUGGAGCGCAGUGGUGCAAUUUUGGCUCACUACAACCUCUGCUUCCUGGGUUCAAGCAAUUAUCCUGCCUCAGCCUCCUGAGUAGCUGGGAUCACAAGCAUGCCUUGCUACACCCAGCUAAGUUUUGUAUUUUUAGUAAAGACGAGGUUUCACUCUGUUGGCCAGACUGGUCUCAAACUCCUGACCUCAAGUGAUCUGCCCACUUCAGCAUCCGAAAGUGCUAGGAUUACAGAUAUGAGCCACCAUGCCCAGCCUGUCACUGUUUUCUGACUUUAUUUCUGUCAAGUCGGUUCUCAGUCACAUUGUCAUUUUAUAGGCAACUUUUGUGUGUGUCACUGAUACUUUUACAACAUGAAAUAAUUGCAUUUCUUAACAGAGGCUCUCUUUACAGUUGUAAUUUUGUAUACUAUACUUAAUAAUACUCCAUGGCUUUAGAAUAAGGGUCAGCAAACUUUUUUUGUAACAGUUGAGGUUGUAAAUAUUCUAGACUUCGCAGGCCAUAAGGUCUCUGUGGCAGCUACUCAACUCUGGUAUUGUAGCACAAAAGCAGCUAUGGAUAAUAUGGAAACAAAUCAUUCAUUAAAUUUUUUUUCUUUAACUUUUAAGUUUUAGGGGUGGGUGUGCAGGUUUGUUAUAUAGUUAAUCUCCUUGUCACAGGUGGUUGGUGUACAGAUAGUCUUGUCUCUCUGGUAAUGAGCAUGAUACCUCAUAGGUAGUUUUUCUGAUCCUCUCCCUCCACCCACCCUCCACCCUUAAGUAGGACCCAGUGUCUGCUGUUCCUCUCCUAGCAUCCACGUGUUCUCAUUGUUUAGCUCCCGCUUGCAGGUGGGAAUGUGCAGUAUUUGAUUUUCUGUUCCUGUGUUAGUUUGUUUAGGAUAAUGGCCUCCAGCUCCGUCCACAUUGCUGCAAGGACAUGAUCUCAUUUUCUUUUAAUGGCAUCAUAUGGGGCAUAUGUACCACAUUUUCUUUAUCCAGUCUAACAUUGGUGAUCAUUUAGAUUGAUUCUAUGUCUUUGCUAUUGUAAAUAGGGCUGCAGUGAACAUAGAUGUGCAUGAGUGUUUAUGGUAGAACAAUUAGUAUUCCUUUGGAUGUAUAUCCAAUAAUGAGAUUGCUGAGUCAAAUAAUAAUUUUCUUUCACAUUCUUUGAGGAAUUGUCACAACUACUUUCCACAAUGGCCAAACUAAUUUACACUUCAACCAGCAGUGUAUAAGUAUUCCCUUUUCUCCACAACCUUGCCAGCAUCUAUUAUUUUUUUUUUUUUUUUUUUUUUACUUUUUAAUAAUAGCCAUUCUCACUGGUGUGAGAUGGUAUCGCAUUGUGGUUUUGAUUGACAUUUCUCAAGUGAUUAGUGAUGUUGAGCAUUUUUUCAUACGCUUGCUGGCUGCAUGUAUGUCUUCUUUUGCAAAGUGUCUGUUCAUGUCUCUUACCCAUUUUCUAAUGGAAGUUUUUGGUUUUUUUCUUGUAACUUUGUUUAAAUUCCUUAUAGAUUCUGGAUAUUAGAUCUUUGUUAGAUGCAUAGUUUGUAAAUAUUUGCUCCCAUUCCAUAGGUUUUCUCUUUAUUCUGUUGAUAGUUUCUUUUGCUGUGCAAAAGCUUUUUAAUUUAACUAGGUCCUACUUGUCAAUUUUUGUUUUUCUUGCAAUUACUUUCAGUAUCUUCAUCAUGAAACCUUUGCCAAGUCCUGUGUUCAGAAUGGUAUUUCCUGGGCUGUCUUUCAGGGUUUUUAUAGUUUCAGUUUUUGCAUUUAAGUUUUAAUCCAUCUUGAGUUGAUUUUUGUAUCUGGUGUAAGGUGGGGGUCCAAUUUCAAUCUUCUGCAUAUGGCUAGCCCAUUAUCCCAGCACCAUUUAUUGAACAGAGAGUCCUAUCCGCAUUGCUUGUUUUUGUCAACUUUGUCAAAGACCAGAUAGUUGUACAUUUGUGGCACUAUUUCUGGACUCUCUAUUCUGUUUUGGUCUUUGUGUCUGUUUUUGUACCAGUACCAUGCUGUUUUGGUUACUGUAGAUCUGUAGUAUAGUUUGAAGUCAGGUAGUGUGAUGCCUCCAGCUUUGUUCUUUUUGUUUAAGAUUGCCUUGGCUAUUUGGGCUCUUUUUUGGUUUCAUAUGAAUUUUAAAAUAGUUUUUUCUAAUCCUGCCAAAAAUGUCAUUGGUAGUUUCAUAAGAAUAGCACUGAAUCUGUAAAUUGCUUCAGGCAGUAUGGCCAUUUUAACAAUAUUGAUUCUUUCUAUCCAUGAGCAUGGAAUGUUUUUCCAUUUGUUUGUGUCAUCUCUGAUUUCUUUGAGAAAUGUUUUAUAAUUCUCGUUGUAGAGAUCUUUUACCUCAAUAGUUAGCUGUAUUCCUAGGUAUUUUAUUAUUUUUGUGGUAAUUGUGAAUGGGAUUGUGUUCCUGAUUUGGCUCUUGGCUUGUAUGUCGCUGGUGUAUAGGAUGCUACUGAUUUUUAUACAUUGAUUUUGUAUCUUGAAACUUUCCUGAAGCUCUUUAUCAUAUUGAGGAGCUUUUGGGCAGAGAUAGUGGGGUUGUCUAGAUAUAGAAUCAUGUCAUCUGCAAACAGAAAUAUUUUAACUUCCUCUCUUCCUAUUUGGAGGCCUUUUAUUUCUUAUUCUUGCCUGAUUGCACUUGCUAUGACUUCCAAUACUAUGUUGAAUAGGAGUGGUGAGAGAGGACAUCCUUGUCUUUGCCUGCUUUCAAGGGGAAUGCUUCCAGCUUUUGCUCAUUCAGUAUGAUGUUGGCUGUGGGUUUGUCAUAGAUGGCUCUCAUUAUUUAAAAAUAUGGUCCUUCAAUGCCUAGUUUAUUGAGGGUUUUAAACAUGAAGCAAUGCUGAAUUUAGUUGAAAAGGCUUUUCUGCAUCUAUUUAGAUAAUCACGUGGUUACUAUUUGUAGUUCUGCCUAUGUGAUUAAUCACAUUUAUUGAUUUGCAUAUGUUGAACCAAUCUUGCAUCCCAGGGAUGAAACCCACUUAAAUGUGCUGGAUUAGCUUUUUGCUGUGCUGCUGGAUUCAGUUUGCUAGUAUUUUCUUGAGGAUUUUUCCAUCUAUGUUCAUCAAGGGUAUUGGCCUGAAGUUUUCUUUCUUUGUUUUUUCUCUGCCACGUUUGGUAUCAGGAUGAUCUUGGCCUCAUAUAAUGGGCUGAGGAGGAAUUCCUGUUAUUCUGAGAGUUUGGUUAGUAUGAUUCUAGUUUUUUUUUUUUUUACUUUGCUGAGUAUUGUGUUUUAUGUUUGAUUGUAUGGUUGAUUUCACAAUGAGAAGAAUGUGCCAUGUAGCAAUGAGAAGAAUGUAUAUUCUGUUGUUUUUGGGUAUAGAGUUCUGUCUGUUAGGUCCAUUUGGUCAAGUGUUAAGUUCAGGCCCUGAAUAUGUUUGUUAUUUUUCUGCCUCAAUAAUCUGUCUAAUACUGUCAGUGGAGUGUUGAAGUCUCCCACUACUAUGGUGUAGGAAUCUAAGUCUUUGUAGGUCUCUAAGAACUUGCUUUAUGAGUCUGGGUGGUCUUGUUUUGGCUCCCUAUAUAUUUAGGAUAGUUAAGUCUUCUUGUUGAAUUGAACUCUUUAUAAUUAUGCAAUGCCCUUCUUUUAUCUUUUUUUUUUUUUUAAUCAUUGUUGGUUUAAAGUCUGUUUUGUCUGAAAUUAGGAUAGCAACCCCUGCUUUUUCUGUUUUCCAUUUACUUGGUAGAUUUUUUUCCAUCCCUUUGUUUUGAGCCUGUGGAUAUCAUUGCAUGUGAGAUUGGUUUCUUGAAAACCCUUCUUGGGUCUUGCUUCAUUAUCUAGCUUGCCACUCCAUGCCUUUUAUUUAGGGCAUUUAGCACAUUUACAUUCAAGGUGAAUAUUGAUAUAUGUGGAUUUCAUCCUGUCAUCAUGUUGUUAGCUGGUUAUUAUGCAGACUUUUUGUGUGGUUGCUUUAUAGUGUCACUGGUCUGUAUACUUAAGUGUGAUUUUGUAGUAGCUGGUAACAGUCCUUUCCAUAUCGAGCACUCCUUUUAUAAGCUCUUGUAAGGCAGGUCUGGUGAUAAUGAAUUCCCUCAGCAUUUGGUUGUCUGAAAAGGAUCUUAUUUCUCCUCCACUCAUGAAACCUAGUUUGGCCACAUAUGAAAUUCUUGGCUGGAAAUUUUUUUCUUUAAGAAUGCCAAAUUAGACUACCAAUCUCUUCUGAGUUGUAGGGUUUCUGCUGAAAGGUCCACUGUUAGUUUGAUGGGGUUCCCUUAAUGGAUGACCUGCCUCUUCUCUCUAGUUGGCUUUAACAUUUUUUCUGGCCGGGCGCGGUGGCUCACGCUUGUAAUCCCAGCACUUUGGGAGGCCAAGGCGGGCGGAUCACGAGGUCAGGAGAUCGAGACCACGGUGAAACCCCGUCUCUAUUAAAAAUACAAAAAAAAAAUUAGCCGGGUGUGGUGGCGGGCGCCUGUAGUCCCAGCUAAUCAGAGAGGCUGAGGCAGGAGAAUGGCGUGAACCCAGGAGGUGGAGCUUGCAGUGAGCCGAGAUUGCGCCACUGCACUCCAGCCUGGGCGACAGAGCAAGACUCCGUCUCAAAAAAAAAAAAAAAAAAAAAAAAAAUUUUUUCUUUCAUUUGGACCUUGUAGAAUCUUAUUAUAAUGGUGUUUUGGAGAUGGUCUUGUGUGAUCUCUCACAGAGGUUCUCUGCAUUUCCUGGAUUUGAAUGUUUACCUCUCUGGUGAGGUGGGGGAAGUUUUUAUGCAUGAUAUUCUGAAAUAUAUUUUUCAAGUUGCUUGCAUUCUCCCCAUCUCUUUCAGGGAUGCCUGUGAGUUGUAGAUUAUGUGUCUUUCCAAAAUCCUAUAUUUCUUGGAGGUUUCAUUUUUUACUUUUUUAUUCUUUAUUUUUGUCUGACUGAAUUAUUUCAGAGUGCCAGUCUUUGAGCCAUGAGAUUCCUCCCUCAGAUUGGUCUAUUCUGCUGUUAACGCCGUGUUUGCAUUAUGCAGUUCUUGCAGUGUGUUUUUCAGCUCUAUCAGGUCAGUUUAGUUCUUUUUUAUAAUGGCGAUUUCAUCUGUCAGCUCCUGUAUCAUUUUACUAUGAUUCUUAGCUUCCUUGGAUUGAGUUUCAAUAUUCUCCUCAAUCUCGAUGAUCUUCAUUACUAUCCAUAUUCUUAAUUCAAUUUCUGCUAUUUCAGUAAUUUUGACUCAGUUAAAAACCUUGCUGGGCAAAUAGUGCGGUUAUUUGGAGAUAAGAGACUUUUUGAGUGAUCAGAGGUCUUGUGCUUGUUAUUUCUCAUUUGUGUGGGCUGAUGUUCCUUUAGUCUGUGAAGUUGCUGUCCUUUCCAUGGAUUUUUUGCUUUUUUUUUCUUUGAUUCCCUUGGGGAUUUGAUUAUGAUAUAAAGUGGGUUUGGCUGGCCUGCUUUGAUUCUAGUCAGCUCCUGGGUCUUGGAGGAGCCCCCUCCAAUUACUGCCUCCAUGCCCAUGUUUCUUUUGUUGGGUGUCCUGGUCCAUGGGGCUGCUCAGGCAGGGGCACAGUUGGCAGACAAGCUAUGUCCUUGCCCAGUCAGCCCUCAUCUGUUGUCCAUGUGCUUCCUGGGAGAACACAGGGUUGCACCUGGUCACAGAGUUCAGGUGAAAGCAGGACCAUUGAGUUGGAAGCUUUAGCAGGUUUGUCCUGUCUGGCUAUAGGAGGCAGGGGUGGAUGGAGUUGCCUGCCUUGCCCUCUGGAUGUUUCCAGGGUAAGAAGAGGCUUCACCCCUUGGCAAACUCAUGCAGAAGUAGGACUUCUGAGCCGGAAGCUUUAGCAGAUGUUGCCUGCCUGGCUGCUAGUGGUGGAAGUGAGUGGGUUCCUGUGCUCUGCCAUUGGGGUGUUUCCCAGGACAACAGGAAGCUGCGCCCUCCAGCUGAGUUCAUGCAGAAGUGGGCCAGAAGCUCUAGCAGGCAUUGCCUACCUGGCUAUCAGUGGCAGGGGUGGGUGGGCUAGCCUGCCCUGCCAUGUGGGUACUUCCUGGGACAAUAGGAGGCUGCACCCACCAGCUGAGUUCACACAGAAGUGGGGCCACUGGGCUGGAAGCUCUAGCAGGUGUUGCCCACCUGACUACCAGUGGUGGGGAUGGGUGGAGUGUCAUGCACCCUGCUGUCCAGGUGUUUCCAGGACAACAGGAAGCUGUACCCUCCAGUUGAGUUCACACAGAAGCAGGACCCCUGGGCCAGAAACUCUAGCAAGCAUUGUCCUCCUGGCUGUCAGUGGUGGGGGUAGGUGGAGUCACAUGACCUGCCACCCAAAUGUUUCCUGGUACAUCAGGAAGCUGUACCCUCCAGCUGAGUUCACACAAAAACAGGACCACUGGGCUGGAAGCUCUAGCAAGCAUCGCCCACUUGACUUCAAGUGGUGGGGUAGGUGGAGUGGCCAGCCAAGUUCAGGCUGAAUCAGAACUGCUGGGCCAGAAGCUGGCAGCAAGCCCCAUCCAGCAGUGUGAGAUGGAGCAAUCUUACUGCUUCCAGGCACCACAACUGCAGCCUCUGUUGGGGCUCUUAAGUUGAUACUGGUCUGCUCCAGGGCCCAAAGCUUAUAGAGGUCCCUUUGAACUUGACUGUUGCCCCCACAAAACAUCUGAGUGGCUCCCUGCCUCAGUCUAGAAGUGUGGUGGGGGUUUCUGGGAGGUCCAGGGAGAUUCUCCUGAUCCAUCUUGCACAGUUCCUGUGGAGAGCAUGAAUCCCCCUGGGGGCUCUCAAUCUCUCACCUUUCCUGUAUUGGAGAGGUUCUCCCAGCUCCGAGCGAAGGCCAGACAGGCUGGUGCCCAGCUUUGCUCCUCUCUGCUGUUUGUGUUCCCCUGCUGACUUGCUGGGUCCCCGGUGUGGUUUCUCAGAUCAUCAGCCUGCAGGGUCCAUGUUCACUAGCCCUUUUGUUUCCUGUCCAUGAGUGUGGCAUACAUGAGCUGUUUCUAGUUUGCUAUCUUGGCUUGAAACACACUGUAACUGUGUUUCAAUGAACUUUAUCUACAAAAUCAAGUGGUAAGCCUGAUUUGGCUCAUGGUUCAUAUUUAUUGAUGCCUGCUAUAGAUAGUACUUUUUACUGCCUUUUCUGAGUAAUGAUUAAAUUAAUAUAUUUAUCUUUCUCAGCUUCCUUUCCUCCACUACUAUUAGGUGGCAGCAUUAUCUUUCUUGGAUUUUAUUUUUAUAUUGAUAAAUGUAAGAAUAGGCAAAUGGAUAUAUUUAUUUGCUUUAAAUUGCAUAUUUUGACCCCAGCUAUAAAAAUAUGAAGAAAUAAAACACACCUUUUCAUUUUUUCCCCUCAAAUUUGUUAGUUAUGUCAUUUCUACCUUAUGAAGGCUUAUGAUGUUUACAUUCUGUAAUACCACCCAAAUCGUUGUGGGUCAGGUGACUUACUGAAGAUCACACAGACAAUAAGUGAUGAAGCUAGGAUAUAAACUUGAAUAAACUUUGCUGUUGACAAUUGUCAUUGUCUUAGCCUGUUCAGGCUGCUGUAACAAAAUACUAUAGAUUGAGUGGCUUGUAAAUGACAUACAUUUCUUUUUCACAGUUCCAGAGGCUGGGAAGUACAAGACCAAGUUUCUGGCAGAUUUAGUGUCUGUUAUUUACUAAGCCAGUUAAGGAACACAGAAUGGGUGCAUGUGUUGUCAACCAUUCAGACUUUUUCAGAGAAUAAAUUUCUGUUCUUCAUUGUGGAAUGUAACAAGGACCCACACUGACCUGUGAUCAUGAAUAGGGGCUACAUGCAUAACUGGAAAUACUUCAAAAGUAAUUUGGAUCAUCAAGCCAUCAUUUGCCUUUUCCCAGUUAUUUUCCAUCUUGACAACAUGGACCUCAAAUUGAAUGCUUUAUAAAAGAGAGGUGAGAGGAAAGAAAAUACUAGACUCAUGGGGUAUAUCAUCUACCGUUUUCUUUGAGAACAGUCUCUGUAUCCUUUUGAUAAAAAUGUGUGUUCGUUAUGAAAUGCUAUUUAAUGCUAACUAACGGUAGAUGAGCUGUUUCUCUCUGAGGCUUGAGGUUCUGGAUUUCAGGGUGCCAACAUACCUGUGUGUGUGCAGUACAUGCAAAUCGCCUGUGGUAGCCAUAGUCACAGGAUGUGUCUUCAAGACAGAAACUUGCUUUGUGGCCUUCAGCCACUCUCCUCUGCGUGUUGGCAUCAAGCAGGUCAUAGUGGCUAAACUCAUCCAUACUGUGGUAAUGUCUAAUGUCCCACAAAACGAAAAGAUGGUGGUCAGUUACAUACAGAGAAAGCAAUGAAGAUAUUAAAUGACUUCCCCCAUGGCUUCACAAAUUUGUUUUCACAUUAAAAUUGAGACCAAAUUUAUCUUCUAAAAGAGAGAUUCGUGCUAGGGUUUUUUUUCCCCAGGACAUAAAUCUAUCAAAAUUGUAAGGUUUAACUUUGCUACUAGGACAAAAGACUUAGUUCAGUAUUUUGCUUUCUUAUUAUACCCCAUUUUGUCUUUGAAUAUUAAAUAGAAAUGGACAAUAAAUUAUCUGUGCUUAAGUGAAACUUGCCAUGUGUUCUCUAGUGUAUUCCCCUUGGCUGUCACUGCUGAUGUUUCAUUCCAAAAAGCAGCACGUGACUUUUUCAAGGUUUCUAUGAGAUCUUAAAUGACUGAGUUCUCACAUAUUUAAAAUCAUUAGUGAAAAGCAAGGGAGAACUCAUGGCAUGUUUUAUCCACCAUUAUUGUUUAAAUAGUACAUGCUUUAAUUUAGAAAUAAAGUAUUCCUAUUUUAUCAAGAAAUUAAGUGACUUAUAUCUACUUUUGUCAUUUCAUUAAACGAAAGGUGCGGAGCUGUUCAUCUUCCCACAUAAGGAAAAAACAAUGAGGACUGGCUUGGAUUUCAGGAAGUAAGAAAUAAGACUUGCAUUUGUGAUAUCAAAAAUCACCCGAAAAAUGAAAAGCAACCCAAAAGUACCCAGGAGGCCCAUUUACUUACUGAUGAC